GCCGCGCGUGGCGCGUAGGCGGGGGGCGCCGCUGCGGGCGGCGGUGAGGACGGCGGGCUGCUCGGGGCGGCUGCGCAGCGC
rnacentral:tRNA from 1 species